rnacentral:lncRNA from 1 species
GAUGGUCCAAGAUGAUGGCUAUAGUAGUCCUCACUAUUGUAUGAAAUAGUGUGAUAAUAAAUGUAAUGAGGACUCCAUUUGAGUUUGGAUAUUGUCUACGAGAAUAUAAAUGUAAUGAGGAUUCCAUUUGAGAAUAUAGCUGCAAUUCAUGCAACAUCAGGCGAGAGAGACUCUUGUUCAAAAUACAGGUGGAAACACUGGCAACUCUCGGAUGGUCAUCGCUAAGAAAUUCAAGGAGUUGGAACCACCGGAGAUUUUGGAAAAGCCAGAACCACUUAAGGCAGAUACGUGAAUUAAG